GACGAACGCUGGCGGCGUGCCUAAUACAUGCAAGUCGAACGCUGAAGAGAGGAGCUUACUCUUCUUGGGUGAGUUGCGGACGGGUGAGUAACGCGUAGGUAACCUGCCUUGUAGCGGGGGAUAACUAUUGGAAACGAUAGCUAAUACCGCAUAACAAUGGAUGACACAUGUCAUUUAUUUGAAAGGGGCAAUUGCUCCACUACAAGAUGGACCUGCGUUGUAUUAGCUAGUAGGUGAGGGAAUGGCCCAACUAGGCGACGAUACAUAGCCGGCCUGAGAGGGGUAGAGGCCCAACUGGGAAUGAGACAAGGGCCAGACCCCUACGGGAGGCAGCAGGAGGGGAAUUUUGGCAAAGGGGGCAACCCUGAACGAGGAACGACGGGGGAGGGGAGAAGGUUCUCGGAUCGUAAAGGUCUGUUGUAAGUGAAGAAAGGGUGUGAGAGUGGAAAGUUCACACUGUGACGGUAGCUUAACAGAAAGGGACGGCUAACUACGUG
rnacentral:rRNA from 1 species